GCCUGUUCGAGCGUCAUUGCAACCCUCAAGCACUGCUUGGUAUUAGAUGCUACUAAUUGUAGUGCAUCUCAAAAGUAUUGGUAGUGGCAUUAGCUUCUAGUGUAGUAAGUUUCUUGCUAUGGAGUUUGAUUGUUAACUGCCAGAACCCCUGAUUUUAAAAGGUUGACCUCGGAUCAGGUAGGGAUACCCGCUGAACUUAA
rnacentral:misc_RNA from 1 species